rnacentral:rRNA from 1 species
AUGACAUGUUGUGUUAUUCUUCAUAAUAUGAUUCUCGAAGAUGAGAGAGGCAUGAACUUGGAGUUCUUCUACGACAAUGUGGUUAGCCAUUUCAAACCAGUUAGAGAUCCUAACCGCAUUAGAGCUUUUCUUCAGACAUACAGGAAGAUUGAAAAUGUAAGCACCCAUUUUCAGUUUCAGGAGGAUCUUAUUGAGCACCAUUGGCAAAGGGCUGGGCAGUAA